rnacentral:rRNA from 1 species
GCAUAUCAAUAAGCGGAGGAAAAGAAACCAACAGGGAUUGCCUUAGUAACGGCGAGUGAAGCGGCAAUAGCUCAAAUUUGAAAUCUGGCUCUUGGGCCCGAGUUGUAAUUUGUAGAGGGUGCUUUGGAGUUGAAUGCGGUCCAAGUUCCUUGGAACAGGACGUCACAGAGGGUGAGAAUCCCGUACGUGGUCGCCAAUCUUCUCCAUGUAAAGCCCCUUCAACGAGUCGAGUUGUUUGGGAAUGCAGCUCUAAAUGGGAGGUAAAUUUCUUCUAAAGCUAAAUACUGGCCAGAGACCGAUAGCGCACAAGUAGAGUGAUCGAAAGAUGAAAAGCACUUUGGAAAGAGAGUCAAAAAGCACGUGAAAUUGUUGAAAGGGAAGCGCUUGCAGCCAGACUUGCCUGUAGUUGUUCACCUGUGCGAAUAGCACGGGGUAUUCUUCUGCAGGCAGGCCAGCAUCAGUUUAGGCGGCUGGAUAAAGACCUCUGGAACGUACCUUCCUUUGGGUUGGCCUUAUAGGGGAGGUGUCAUGCAGCCAGCCUGAACUGUGGUCCGCGCAUUUGCUAGGAUGCUGGCGUAAUGGCUGUAAGCGGCCCGUCUUGAAACACGGACCAAGGAGUCUAACAUCUAUGCGAGUGUUUGGGUGUCAAGCCCGAACGCGCAAUGAAAGUGAACGGAGGUGGGAACCCUUUGGGUGCACCAUCGACCGAUCCUGAUGUCUUCGGAUGGAUUUGAGUAAGAGCAUAGCUGUUGGGACCCGAAAGAUGGUGAACUAUGCUUGAAUAGGGUGAAGCCAGAGGAAACUCUGGUGGAAGCUCGCAGCGGUUCUGACGUGCAAAUCGAUCGUCAAAUUUGGGCAUAGGGGCGAAAGA